AGAUCUUAUUAUGUACUAGAAAAAAAACAUCAAUUAUCUAAACCCUAAUUCCAAUAUAAACCCACUUCCCCUCAUUUUUCUCUUUUCCCUUCUUCAACUGCCGCACAACUCAUCAGUUUUCCAUUUUUCCUUCAUUUUUCUUCCUCUUUCUCUUGUGCAUAUCCCAAUCCGUCCUCUCUUUCUUUCAUUCUUAGUACUUUUUUGUUGUCUAUUACUCCUUUGCUAGUCCGGGAUGACUGAAAGAAAGAUUUGUCACAAAGAAGGCUCAUGUGCUACUGCAACAUAAGAAGAUAGACUCAGAGAUCUGGUCUACAAAGCUCGAGAUUGAAGGAAUGGAGAAGAUUGAAAGAAGAAAAUGUUUUUUCAUGUUUUUUUUUUUUUUUUAAUUUAUGUUGUUCUGAGAUCUGGAAAGAUGAAGAUGAACCAUGCUGGGUUUAAAUAUUUUGAAUGAUUCAAAACCAAUAACUCAUGUUUGGGUGGAUUAAUACAUUUAUUAUCUUG